rnacentral:rRNA from 1 species
GAUGAACGCUGGCUACAGGCUUAACACAUGCAAGUCGAGGGGAAACGACGGGGAAGCUUGCUUCCCCGGGCGUCGACCGGCGCACGGGUGAGUAACGCGUAUCCAACCUGCCUCUGACUGAGGGAUAACCCGUCGAAAGUCGGCCUAAUACCUCAUGGCAUCGUCUGCGGGCAUCCAACGACGAUUAAAGAUUUCAUCGGCCAGAGAUGGGGAUGCGUCUGAUUAGCUUGUUGGCGGGGUAACGGCCCACCAAGGCGACGAUCAGUAGGGGUUCUGAGAGGAAGGUCCCCCACAGUGGAACUGGGACACGGUCCAAUCUCCUACGGGAGGCAGCCGUGAGGAAUAUUGGUGAAUGGGAGAGAGCCUGAACCAGCCAAGUAGCGUGCAGGAUGGCGGCCCUCUGGGUUGUAAACUGCUUUUAUGCGGGGAUAAAGUGAGGGGCGUGUCCUUCAUUGCAGGUACCGCAUGAAUAAGGACCGGCUAAUUCCGUG